CAUGCAUGCUUAGUAGCGGCGAGUGAGCGGCAAAGCUCAAAUUUGAAAUCUGGCUCUUUCAGAGUCCGAGUUGUAAUUUGAAGAAGGUAUCUUUGGGUCUGGCUCUUGUCUAUGUUUCUUGGAACAGAACGUCACAGAGGGUGAGAAUCCCGUGCGAUGAGAUGAUCCAGGCCUAUGUAAAGUUCCUUCGAAGAGUCGAGUUGUUUGGGAAUGCAGCUCUAAGUGGGUGGUAAAUUCCAUCUAAAGCUAAAUAUUGGCGAGAGACCGAUAGCGAACAAGUACAGUGAUGGAAAGAUGAAAAGAACUUUGAAAAGAGAGUGAAAAAGUACGUGAAAUUGUUGAAAGGGAAGGGCUUGAGAUCAGACUUGGUAUUUUGUAUGUUACUUCUUCGGGGGUGGCCUCUACAGUUUAUCGGGCCAGCAUCAGUUUGGGCGGUAGGAGAAUUGCGUUGGAAUGUGGCACGACUUCGGUUGUGUGUUAUAGCCUUCGUCGAUACUGCCAGCCUAGACUGAGGACUGCGGUUUAUACCUAGGAUGUUGGCAUAAUGAUCUUAAGUCGCCCGUCUUAA
rnacentral:rRNA from 1 species